rnacentral:rRNA from 1 species
CCUACGGGAGGCAGCAGUAGGGAAUCUUCCACAAUGGGCGAAAGCCUGAUGGAGCAACGCCGCGUGGGUGAAGAAGGUCUUCGGAUCGUAAAACCCUGUUGUUAGAGAAGAAAGUGCGUGAGAGUAACUGUUCACGUUUCGACGGUAUCUAACCAGAAAGCCACGGCUAACUACGUGCCAGCAGCCGCGGUAAUACGUAGGUGGCAAGCGUUAUCCGGAUUUAUUGGGCGUAAAGGGAACGCAGGCGGUCUUUUAAGUCAGUUGUGAAAGUCUUCGGCUUAACCGGAAUAUUGCAGUUGAAACUGGCAGACUUGAGUACAGUAGAGGGGGGCGGAAUUCGAGGUGUAGCGGUGAAAUGCGUAGAUA